UGGGGGAAUAUUGCACAAAUGGGGGAAACCCGUAGAUGCAGCGACGCCGCGUGAACGAAGAAGUGUUUCGGUAUGUAAAGUUACUAUCAGCAGGGAAGAUAAUGACGGUACCUGACUAAGAAGCACCGGCUAAAUACGUGCCAGCAGCCGCGGUAAUACGUAUGGUGCAAGCGUUAUCCGGAUUUACUGGGUGUAAAGGGAGCGCAGGCGGUGCGGCAAGUCUGAUGUGAAAGCCCCGGGGCUCAACCCCGGUACUGCAUUGGAAACUGUCGUACUAGAGUGUCGGAGGGGUAAGUGGAAUUCCU
rnacentral:rRNA from 1 species